rnacentral:lncRNA from 1 species
AUCUGGAAGUCCCCGCUGCUGCCUGGCCUGACCCCUCCAGGGAGCCUUGCUGACCCCUCCACGACUCAAGCUGCAUUGGCUGCCCCUCCGCUGCACUCUCCAAGUUCCCUGUGCUCCUGGAUCUGGCACGCAUUAUGCUGUCUCCAGAGUACUUGUGUUGCAAAGUGUCUGUCCCCUCUCAUCACUUCAGCUGCCUAUGGAUAGGGAUGGUGUCAUCUCUGAGCCUUGAUUCAUAAGACCUGCAUGGGGCAGAUGCUCACAUUGAAUGGACCAAUGAGUGGUGGUUACACUGUUUACCUGCGGGUGGAGUGGGGAGACUUCCUGUUAGCAAGUGCUUUUCCCACACUUGAGACUGCCUCUCUCCUCUCUAAGUCCUGGAUUUUAGGCCUCCUUCCCCUUCUACCCAAGCUCACCCCCCCUUGUCAUAACCUGAUGAGGGCUGAGGGAGGUGGUACAGGAGAUGAGUUAAGUGUGGGGCCACUUGCCAGCUAAGAACCCUUGACCCAAGUUUCCUUUUCUGGAAAACAGACAAUAACAGCACCUUCUUAGAGUGGCUAUAAGGACAUAACAAGCCCCUUCCCUCCCCCUGUCCACACUCAACAAGGGGCUCUAUUCUUUCCUGAAGGUCUGUGGUUGCCUCCGGAGGCUGGAGGGCAGCUCUGGAGUCUGGCUUGGCUUUCUAUUUGCAACCAUUCCAUAUCCCUUGUCCCCACCCCACUCCCUCCCUAGGGCCACACCUCUCCAC